ACGCUGAGGUGGUGGUUUACGGUACGCAACCGGCUGUAACCGCUUCAGCUGGAGAGCACUUUAUCUUCUUCUUUAAGGAAGUAAUUGAAUAAUCAGAAAGCAUGAUUAAAAUAGUUUUCAAGUGACAAUGUUUUUGAAUUUUUAGAAACAUCAGAGGUCAUGGAGAGGCAGACCUGUGCAAGACACACUUUUUAAAAUAACUGACUUUGCAGAGCUAAUCAGCAUAAAGGCAAAAUUCUGUUUAAACUUUUCCAGUGGGCAAUUGCUGUCCCAACUCUCCUCUUGUUUAUGGCACUACCUAGCUAUAAAUCUGGACACCAUUGUGCAUUUUCUUCUCCUUUAGCCUCCAUACCCAACUAUCCACCAAGCAAUAGGUGAACUCCAAAAAUAGCCUCCUUCAACUCAUUGUCUGGGUAGUUGUUUCCCUGAAGAAAACAAGAACCUACUCGUCUACCAGGAUAUGACUCCAGUCAUCAAUUCUGUUACAAGUGAGUUGCUUCCAGUUUCUUCUGCCUAGAAGAUUCAGAGGGAGAGAGGUCAUGAUUAUUCUAUGGCUAAGUACCACUUCUGAAGUGUUUUCUUUGGCACAAGAACCUGAUACAAUGGAGAUGUCAAUCAAUGCAUGUCUCAGUCCUAAGACUUGCCCUUGAAAAUCACAUAACAGCAAAUACUUCUGUCCAGUCAGCUUUUCUACUUACCAGCAGACUGCAAAGAGUGAUCACUGAGGAUUUUAUAAAUGAAAAGCCUCAUGCCCUUCAUGCAUCCAGGUGGGGGGUAAUUCUGAAGUGGAAUUUUGCAAAAGCCAUAUGAAACCUAACAAAAGAUUGUCAAAUGCCACACAGGUGGCUCCAGGGAGCAUGAUGUGUCACUCACCAUUGACUGUAUCACCUCCUGCCUGUUCAUUCAAUAAAUGAGGCCAAACAAAUAAAUUCUUGCUUCUCUAAAGAAA